AUUGAACGCUGGCGGCAUGCCUUACACAUGCAAGUCGAACGGCAGCACGGGAGCAAUCCUGGUGGCGAGUGGCGAACGGGUGAGUAAAGUAUCGGAACGUGCCCAGUCGUGGGGGAUAACGUAGCGAAAGUUACGCUAAUACCGCAUACGAUCUAUGGAUGAAAGCGGGGGAUCGCAAGACCUCGCGCGAUUGGAGCGGCCGAUAUCAGAUUAGGUAGUUGGUGGGGUAAAGGCUCACCAAGCCGACGAUCUGUAGCUGGUCUGAGAGGACGACCAGCCAAACUGGGGCUGGGACACGGCCCAGACUCCUACGGGGGGCAGCAGUGGGGAAUUUUGGACAAUGGGCGAAAGCCUGGUCCAGCCAUGCCGCGUGCAGGAUGAAGGCCUUCGGGUUGUAAACUGCUUUUGUACGGAACGAAAAGGUUUGGCCUAAUAAGCUGAGCUCAUGACGGUACCGUAAGAAUAAGCACCGGCUAACUACGUGCCAGCCGCCGCCGUAA
rnacentral:rRNA from 1 species